CCUAGCAUAGCCUGUAACGUUAUUAUGACGGACACAUUUUAUGAAUGAACUUGGCUUUAAGUGACUGACAGGUUUCUUUGAAAAAUACUUUCUUAUUGUAAGGACGAGAAAGACAUUGUGGACAAAACAGGACACCCCCCAAUAAUCUUUAGUUACAAUAUUAUAGUUAGUUAAAUGGUCUGAUUGUUCAAAUAUGUAUUUUCUUUGACUGUUGUAAAAUAAUGUGUGCCCCAGUCUCCAAAAAUGACAUAGUGCAGGAAGGGUAGUUAUUCCUCCGUUACACCACAAGAGGGAGUAUCCCCUAAAAUGAGCAGCUCUAGCGGGAGUAAAUAAGCCCACCCACUAACCAUAAGGCUGUGCGCCUAUAAGAGUUGUGUGAGACUGCAAAAGUGUGUAACAUUGUGCUAUGUCCAUAUAUAUAUUUGCAGGUAAGCAGAUACAAGAUGGUAAAUAACUUAAAAUGUAUCUACAGAUGAGUCCACGGGGUUGCAGAGAAUGUGGGAAAGUUGGCCGUUAAUCCCCAUUAUGUGUCAUUAGUAUAUAAGUUAUUGGUAGCGAUGUGAAUUAGCCGUGACGCUAACGAUUAGCAGCUAGAGAUAAUUCAUUAGUUUGCGCGGAAACCUCGUUGCGCUUUUGUGGAUUUAUACCUGUACCGGGCUGUAAUCACAGCAGAUAUAGACUGGUGGAUCACACUAUCUUUUGUUUAUGUUUAUUUCAUUGUUGUACUGUAAGAAGUAUUAGUGUUUUGAGUUAAAAGACUAACCAUAAGGCAUUGCGCCUAUAAGAGUUGUGUGAGACUGCAAAAGUGUGUAACGUUGUGCUAUGUCUACAUAUAUAUUUGCAGUAAAGGCGAAAUCACAAAGCUACACUGGUUUUGAUUCAUCUUAACCCAAGUGUGCAACAUUAUAUCCAGGUUCUUCCUUUUUGCUGCCAUCCUCCUCUCCUCCUUGCAGGUCCUCGAAGCGCAGGCUUGCCGCUGCUAAAACUAAACAGAGCUCCCUGAAAGGCACAGCCAAUCACAUUGGCCAUAUUUGUCACAUGACGUAGGACUCCAGUAGAGAACGUAACCUACGCAUAUGACUACGUGCAUGACAUUGAUAAGGGGAACAAGCAGCCUUGAGAAGAACAGAUUCUACCGGCAACAAUCUGGGAGAGCUGCACUCCCAUCAUAUAACCACACACAAUGUAUAAUCACGCUUGCACAGUACAAUCACACUUUGUAACCAGUUAUAGUAAUUUUUCAUAGGUAAUACAGCAACAAGCUUUAUGAAUAUUCAUGUGUGUAACCAAUAAAAACAACCUGCAGGGGGAAAGCAAGUUGAAGUGGGUUGGAGACAACUGCUUCCCUCUCGCGAGUGAAAACUUGA